CCUACGGGAGGCUGCAGUGAGGAAUAUUGGUCAAUGGCCGGAAGGCUGAACCAGCCAAGCCGCGUGAGGGAGGAAGGCGCAGAGCGUCGCAGACCUCUUUUGCCGGGGGACAAAAGGCCGGACUCGUCCGGUCCUGAGGGUACCCGGAGAAAAAGCAUCGGCAAACCCAGAGCCAGAAGCCGCGGUAAUACGGAGGAUGCGAGCGGUAUCCGGAUUCGUGGGGGUUAAAGGGUGCGUAGGAGGACUGUAAAGUCAGCGGUAAAAUCCAGGGGCUCAACCCCGGCGAGCCUUUGAAACUGGCUGUCUUGAGUUGUCGAGAGGUAUGCGGAAUGCGCAGUGUAGCGGUGAAAUGCUGAGAUAUUGCGCAGAACUCCGAUUGCGAAGGCAGCAUACCGGCGGCGAUCUGACGCUGAGGCACGAAAGCGUGGGGAGCAAACAGGAUUAGAUACCCGGGUAGUC
rnacentral:rRNA from 1 species